GACGAACGCUGGCGGCGUGCCUAAUACAUGCAAGUAGAACGCUGAAGAGAGGAGCUUGCUCUUCUUGGAUGAGUUGCGAACGGGUGAGUAACGCGUAGGUAACCUGCCUUGUAGCGGGGGAUAACUAUUGGAAACGACAGCUAAUACCGCAUAACAAUGGAUGACCCAUGUCAUUUAUUUGAAAGGGGCAAAUGCUCCACUACAAGAUGGACCUGCGUUGUAUUAGCUAGUAGGUGAGGUAACGGCUCACCUAGGCGACGAUACAUAGCCGACCUGAGAGGGUGAUCGGCCACACUGGGACUGAGACACGGCCCAGACUCCUACGGGAGGCAGCAGUAGGGAAUCUUCGGCAAUGGGGGCAACCCUGACCGAGCAACGCCGCGUGAGUGAAGAAGGUUUUCGGAUCAUAAAGCUCUGUUGUAAGUCAAGAACGAGUGUGAGAGUGGAAAGUUCACACUGUGACGGCAGCUUACCAGAAAGGGACGGCUAACUACGUG
rnacentral:rRNA from 1 species